rnacentral:rRNA from 1 species
UACUUAGGGUGCAAGCGUUGUCCGGAAUUACUGGGCGUAAAGCGUGCGCAGGCGGUUCGUUAAGUUCGUUGUGAAAGCCCCGGGCUCAACCUGGGAACUGCAAUGGAAACUGGCGGGCUUGAGUGUGGCAGAGGGGGGUGGAAUUCCGCGUGUAGCAGUGAAAUGCGCAGAUAUCAGGAGGAACACCGGUGGCGAAGGCGGUUCUCUGGGCAUUACCUGACGCUGAGGAGCGAAAGUGUGGGGAGCGAACAGG